GAUGAACGCUAGCGGCAGGCUUAACACAUGCAAGUCGAGGGGCAGCGCGAUGUAGCAAUACAUUGGCGGCGACCGGCGCACGGGUGCGUAACACGUAUGGAAUCUGCCCUGUACUGGGAGAUAACCCGGCGAAAGUCGGACUAAUAUCCCAUAAUAGGCGAGGUGGCAUCACCUUGCUUUGAAAGCUCCGGCGGUACAGGAUGACCAUGCGCACGAUUAGCUAGUUGGUGAGGUAACGGCUCACCAAGGCUACGAUCGUUAGGGGGCCUGAGAGGGUUAUCCCCCACACUGGUACUGAGACACGGACCAGACUCCUACGGGAGGCAGCAGUGAGGAAUAUUGCGCAAUGGAGGCAACUCUGACGCAGCCAUGCCGCGUGCAGGAAGAAGGCGCUACGCGUUGUAAACUGCUUUUAACCGGGAAGAAACCCCAGGACGUGUCCUGGGUUGACGGUACCGGAGGAAUAAGCACCGGCUAACUUCGUGCCAGCAGCC
rnacentral:rRNA from 1 species